UACCUACCCUUGACAUGGUCGGAAUCCUGCUGAGAGGCGGGAGUGCUCGAAAGAGAACCGGCGCACAGGUGCUGCAUGGCUGUCGUCAGCUCGUGUCGUGAGAUGUUGGGUUAAGUCCCGCAACGAGCGCAACCCUUGUCCUUAGUUGCUACGCAAGAGCACUCUAAGGAGACUGCCGGUGACAAACCGGAGGAAGGUGGGGAUGACGUCAAGUCCUCAUGGCCCUUAUGGGUAGGGCUUCACACGUCAUACAAUGGUCGGAACAGAGGGUUGCCAACCCGCGAGGGGGAGCUAAUCCCAGAAAACCGAUCGUAGUCCGGAUUGCACUCUGCAACUCGAGUGCAUGAAGCUGGAAUCGCUAGUAAUC
rnacentral:rRNA from 1 species